AAAGACUUUCAUAUACCUUUUUAGCAGCCUGAAUGGCUCCACGUGAUUCCUCAAGUUCAGCAUAAGCAUAUCUCAGCAUCUCCGAGUCAGGAAGUGCUUUCAAAGCUCGCUGGAAAACCUUGAUAGCGGAGUCUACUGAACCAGCUUUUGCAUGCCAUGUGGCAUAUUCAUACCAUAUAUCAGGAUAAUGAUACAAGAACAUGAGGCACUGCUCAUAUGUGAACACAAUUCUUUUAUUAGCAGAAGCACUGUCUAUCCUCUGUGGGUUUGCCUUUUCAAAGGCUAGAAG
rnacentral:misc_RNA from 1 species